AAUUCUGGAUCAGCAAGCGAGGGGGAAAGACCGGACUGCUCCGACCCACCCCCUCCCUACCCCCACCUCCCACCUUAAAGCACCUUAUACCACGGAAGCCUCUCAGCCUCUUCUUUCCUCUGCGAACGCGCUGAGCAGCGAUUGAAAACGUUUUGGUCCUCUCCAGGGGCGCAUUCUGGGGUCUCUGCGCAAGACCAGCUCUCAGCUCUCUCUCCUUUCCUCGGACUCUGGAGCGGGAGCGGGCCUUUCCCUCGGGCCGACCACGCCGUAGGGGACGCCAUGAAAAGAGCCGUCGCGCCCGCUGCCUCCUGCCCGCUGCGCAGAGGGCUCCGCCCGUAGAGGUCAACUUCCCUCACCCUUUCCUCUCUCCUGCUCGCCCUCCCUCCGCUCGGCCCAGGCGCUUCCAGCCGCAGACUCUGGCCACAGGCUGAGGAGUGCGAGUCGGCUGCGCUGCCGAGAGCCGAAUCGCCCUUCCGGGCCCAGACCCGAGUUCCGCGCUCCCGGGCAGUGGGAAAGCUUUAGUGAGCAGCCUUUUCUCUCCGCAGCAAACUCGUAGCCAGACCAGAUGGGCCGCCCAGCUCUCUCGGGACUAGGCAGUUUGAUGCCCAUUACAAAUUUUCCUGCUAUGAAAGAAAUUCUAUGUGCGGCAGUUUUGCAAUAAAACAACCCAGGCUUCGCAAUUGGAGAACUUCGGUGCGGCGUGCCGUGGGAGUCCUUUGACAAUCUCAACUUUCAUCUAGGUCUGAAAUUAAAGCUUCUCGGAAUAAUUUAGGAACAGCUUGACCCGUUGAGACACUCAAGGACAACCCUCCAGGGAAAUAGUAUAUUUCCUUCCUGGGAACAAGAUGCUAGCGCGGUGCACCGGGAGGUAUCCGGUGUCAACAAUGCCAGAACGCCCUCUGCUGCCUCAAAGAGGUAGGACAUCAGUUACAAAAGCCAGAUGGCACAGUGGCAAUAAGCGGAGGAAACAUUAAGCUCUUAGAAACGUUUAUCUGUGAAAUGUAAAAGCGCUCAUCACAUUCUACUUUUGAAAGGGCCACCUGAUUUUGAUUUUGAGCACUCCUUGGAUGCUAUCUUCUAUUCUGGAGGAUAAUGAAAAAUCCGUGUUUUGAAAUUUUCAGAUUAUUUCUGUAGUUAUAUUUCUCCACCCUUUCUCGAAUUUUAUAUGGAAAUACGAAGUUGCAAGUCGAAGUGAAAAACCUUUGUGUAAACAGGUGAGUGGAGAAGACGACCUGACUUCUCUAGAUAACUAAGAUCUAAUAAAGAGAGAAAUCUUAAUUAAAAUAAAGAUACCGAGCACAUGUUGUUGCAUUAGUUUAAAAAGAUAAUAAUAAAAAGAAAUUAAGUCUCGAUGUAAAUAAUUGUUUUGUUGUUUUGUUUCAGUGAUUAAUCCAAAUUUUGACCAGGCUUUAAGUUUUGAAAUAAGAAAGUGAAUUAUUUUAAAGAAGAAGAAAAAUUUGCUUCAUUUUAAUGUGUACACUAUUUUUGCCCUUAAAACCUUUACAAUAUACUUAUACACACACACUCAGCUUGCAAACCCUCCUUUAGAAAAUAACCCACUCUGAGUAGAAGUAAUCAGAUAUGGUAGCAGCAUGGGCAAAGUCAGAAGAAACGUUAUUUGCAUUAAAAAUGAGUUUUUCAGUAUGGAAAAUCAAUUACCAAAUGAAACAGAGAUUUUUGUUAAAGGUUCAAACCUUUUUAAAUUUUUAUGUUAUAGGGUUUAUAUUGAUUAAAAUAAAUGUACGUUUGUAGUUAUUCAACAUUAUGAAUUUCAAGAUUGCUGCCUAUUUUGAAACACACACCUUUGCCAUGAAGUCUGUUGUUGCAUAUAUCAAUGCUGAUGUAAUAAAAUGCUUCUAUUAACUAUGUGGUUGUUAAAUAAAUCUUGUAAAAAU
ensembl:lncRNA